rnacentral:rRNA from 1 species
CCUACGGGAGGCAGCAGUGAGGAAUAUUGGUCAAUGGGCGGAAGCGUGAACCAGCCAAGUAGCGUGCAGGAUGACGGCCCUACGGGUUGUAAACUGCUUUUAUACGGGAAUAACGCGCCUUACGUGUAGGGCUUUGCAUGUACCGUAUGAAUAAGGACCGGCUAAUUCCGUGCCAGCAGCCGCGGUAAUACGGAAGGUCCGGGCGUUAUCCGGAUUUAUUGGGUUUAAAGGGAGCGUAGGCCGCAUGUCAAGCGUGCUGUGAAAUGUCCGGGCUCAACCCGGGCCUUGCAGCGCGAACUGGCGUGCUUGAGUCCGCGGAAAGCAGGCGGAAUUCGUCGUGUAGCGAUGAAAUGCUUAGAUAUGACGAAGAACCCCGAUUGCGAAGGCAGCUUGCUGCAGCGGAACUGACGCUGAUGCUCGAAAGCGCGGGUAUCGAACAGGAUUAGAUACCCGAGUAGUC